GCUGACGUGCCCUGGGACAAGCAAACCUUGGCACCUUUCUGUCCAGGAGGGAAGGACUUGGUAAUACCUAGGCAAAGCCUACAGUGAAUCAGCUCAGCUAUUGGCAGUUUUUGUAUCCUUCUCAAGUGGAAAACUGCCAAAGAUGGCUUUCUGAGUGGUCCCUGGUCCUCUCCACUUCCCCAAACUUCAGACACAGGUAAGCCUGUGAUGUCCUGAAUUCCUUGGGAAAUAUUGGGUCCCUCCUGGUGGAUGGCCAAUGCUGUGAAGAACUAUGGUGUACAGAGCUUAGGCAAUGGCUUGAAUGACUCAUUGCUGCAAGCAGAGUGGUUCUUGGCUGAAGCUGCUAUUGAGAGGGCAAGAGUCUCACAAGAACAGUUGGUCACGUGCUGCAGAGAGGGAGCUGCCAGUGAGCAGGGCUUGGGUGUUAAGGUCUCUAGGGUGGCAGAUCUGAGAAUUCCUGAAGGGGAAUAACAGACUUUGCUGAUUUAGCUUUUAUUGCAUUCAGGAAAAUGGGCCUUGGGUGAAAUUUUUACUCUGGUUUUUGGGGGCGGGCUGAAGCAUACUUUCCAAUCCAAGACUGACCUCUACCUCUGUCUCCCGUUGCUCCACUGGGACUGUACGUGGAUCUAUCCUGCAAUAACAUCGGAGUAGUUCUACAGGAUCAAGCAACUUGGAAUAAAUCUGACCUGAGGUGGAGAAGAACUUCUACAGAAUUUGCAGAGCAUCCAGCGUGUAUCAUCUGCUUAUCCAGAGCCGACACCAAGUUCUCUGAGGAGAAUCACAAUCAGCCAUCUUGAUUGUUCCCUUUCUUGGUUUAUUCGUAAGAAGCAUUUUGCUUGCUGGAAGCAUUUUGCUUGCUGAACUCUCAAACAUGACUUUGAGGCUAAUUUAUUGUAAAACUUUAGUUCUCAGUAUAGUCUCUUGCUGCCUGCUUCUGUUAGUUCCUUUCAAGGAUGACUUCCUCCCUGCAUCUUCCUGGUCUUGGAAAAACACCUGGUUUUGCAGGUGUUCCUUUCAUUUCUAGCUCAUAUUCUAGCAGGUGGCUAGUCAACUUUGGCAUGACUUUGAGUAAUUGUGCUCAAGCUCCACUUUGGUAAGGAAUCAAGCCUUACAAGUUUAGAUAUAAACUUCAUGUCUUUUUGCACAUUUAGCCUCUCCAGGUGGUGGGUGAUAAGCAUCCACCCUUCCCCUUCUGCUAAUCUCUACAGAAAAUGUAGGCAAGCCUUCCUAAUGGCCUUUUAAAAACAAUGAAGAUAAAUUAAAUAAAUUAAAGGUCCAUUACUGGGGGAAAAAUGUUGACUGCAUUAUUAUAGAGUGUGGAUUAAGGUGUCAUAAUAUGCCAUUUGACAGAUCUUCCUCUCAUUGCCUGUGCUGGCUUUGGGUGCAGACAGGAUCAAAAGUUCAUGAGAAUUGCCUUCAACCACUUUUGGAGAGAAUGGCUGGAGGUAACAAAAUUGACCCUAGAAAACUUCCAAAGUCUUUAUCAUUUACAGGAUUGAGUAAGGUGGGCAGAAGCACAGGUGGAGCAGUUUGUUCAUUAAAGUUUGGUUUUCAGAGCUCACCUUUAUGUGGUAAGGGUAUGACCAGAGAAUCUCCACCCAGUUUCAUGUCUGAGUCCAGCCACAUGAGACGCUUUGGAAAGCCAGGAUUUUACCCCCGAGUCCCAGCCCACCUGUCAAGGAGUUAUAGGUUUCAGUCGUUGCAUUCAAGCUUUAAGUCAGCUAAAAUCCUUGUAUUUAGCCACAUGUCUUUUUAAGACCUUUUCGGAAACUUGAGAGCAGGUUAAGCCCUCCAUGUAAAUACAGCCCCAAAUAAAUACUAGCAUAAUGCAAGAAAUGUUUUAAAUGCAGAAACAUUUUAGAUACCAAAGCAGAUAUAAAAACUAAAUCUUUGUAUCUGCCUUGUACUAUCUUUACACUGAUGGAACAGCAGAUUUUAAUCUUACGGACGAAUCCAUCAGCAUAUUGCAGUGAUAUGGAAACUAGUCAUAAUGGAACAAAUUGCCAACAGCUGACCAAGUCCUUGGAGCACAAUAUAUUCUGGAAGGAUUUUUCUCUUUACACUAACACUAAUUUCCACUCUGAGGUAAAGAAAGAUUGCCCUGGAUUUCUGCAGUACCACAUAAAGAUUUUGGGCACAGAGCCUGGAAGAUAAUUUAGAUACCAGGGCAACUGAUAGGAGGGAAGUGAAGAACUCCGCUGCCUUUCUUUUCGUUUUUUUUAAAGUCUUAAAUUGCUUUCUUGUAGUGCAGAAGAAUCUGAAACCUCAUGGAGUCUCAAUCCUUCUCACUCUGCAAGCCAGAUGAAACAGUGGAGUGAGGAAGCUUUUAUCACUGGGCAGAGGUCAUCACAGGUGAACCAGGAAUGAGAACACUUCCACAGUAUCAACUCAUAGGCAAAACUGAGAAAAAUACUUGUCAGCUUGUUUCUGUAUUGGUAAAAGCCAUUUUCAGGGUAUGUACUUUUCCCAGCUGCUGGUUCUCAGUUAUCCCUAUGCUACAGGUGUUUUUUCACUCAUUCAGCUUCUCUACCGGGCCUUUUUCCUCCUCAUCCAUCUUUGACUAUCUCCCUUAUAGACUCCCCUACCAGAAAAAAAGUAUUUCUUCAGCAGUGGUUUGCCCACUCACCAGCAUUUUGCUCAAAGGAUGUGUUUCUUCCGACCCCUUUUACCUCAUAUACAAGUGUUAGCAUACUUUUUUGAUUUGAGAAAUCUUUUCAGGUUUGUCUUCUUUCACUUGUUUCCAUAUGUACCUAUUGACCUUUGCAAAAGAAAAUAAUGUGACUCCUCAUCAAUAUUCCUCUUUGUCUCUAGUAUAAUUUUAACAUCACCCUUUAUAAAAGCAACUAAAAAAACUGAGA